rnacentral:misc_RNA from 1 species
GGAAAAUACAAGUAUUCGGGUCUGAUCUUGAUUUGUGCACCACAUUAUUCACCCACACUUUCGAGAAAAUUCGACCUCGAAUUAAUUUCUGGAUCAAACAAUAAUGGAACGACUAUCUCCCAUAUCAUUCUCCUCCACUUGAGAUAAAUUCGGCCUCGAAUUUUAAAGUGUUGAUGAAUCAAAAUCUCCAUUGGAAGAUUGCACCAUAUUUUCUUCUUGAAUGAUAUUAAUAAGAUUGGCUUGAAUAAAAUUGCUUUGAGAAAUUUUUUAUCUUCCUUAGCAUUCUUAAACUCACCCAGACAAAUAAAAUCAACAAAAACAUUAGGAAAAUUGUUAGAGAAAAUUUUAAUCUUCAUUUGAACCUCCAUGGCUUGAUGCUCUUCUUUCUCCAUAACAUUAUCUGUAAGCUCUUCAUCAUCCACCAUGCAAAAGGCAUUGCAAAAGUGUUAAAUUCAAAUUCAGGAUGAUCCCUUUAUUCUGU